rnacentral:rRNA from 1 species
GACGUAGGGCGCGAGCGUUGUCCGGAUUUAUUGGGCGUAAAGAGCUCGUAGGCGGCUUGUCGCGUCGACUGUGAAAACCCGCAGCUCAACUGCGGGCCUGCAGUCGAUACGGGCAGGCUAGAGUUCGGUAGGGGAGACUGGAAUUCCUGGUGUAGCGGUGAAAUGCGCAGAUAUCAGGAGGAACACCGGUGGCGAAGGCGGGUCUCUGGGCCGAUACUGACGCUGAGGAG